UCCACGCCCUAAACGAUGGAUGCUAGUCGUUGGACGCAAGUUCAGUGACGCAGUUAACACGAUAAGCAUCCCGCCUGGGGAGUACGGCCGCAAGGCUAAAACUCAAAGGAAUAGACGGGGACCCGAACAAGUGGUGGAGCAUGUGGUUUAAUUCGAAGAUACGCGAAGAACCUUACCUGGGCUUGACAUCCCAAGAACCCUAUAGAGAUAUGGGGGUGCCUGCUUGCAGGAGC
rnacentral:rRNA from 1 species